GAUGAAGAACGUAGCAAAAUGCGAUAAGUAAUGUGAAUUGCAGAAUUCAGUGAAUCAUCGAGUCUUUGAACGCACAUUGCGCCCCCUGGUAUUCCGGGGGGCAUGCCUGUCCGAGCGUCAUUGCUGCCCUCAAGCACGGCUUGUGUGUUGGGCCUCCGUCCUCCUCCCGGGGGACGGGCCCGAAAGGCAGCGGCGGCACCGCGUCCGGUCCUCGAGCGUAUGGGGCUUCGUCACCCGCUCUUGUAGGCCCGGCCGGCGCUUGCCGACACAUCAAUCUUUUUUCCAGGUUGACCUCGGAUCAGGUAGGGAUACCCGCUGAACUUAAGCAUAUCAAUAAGCGGAGGA
rnacentral:misc_RNA from 1 species